rnacentral:misc_RNA from 1 species
CUCGUCCAUGUCCAAUGUACUGAGACCUCACGGUCAAACCACGUAAACUCUGUAUUCUAUUCUCUUUUCUAUACUCUAUACUCUAUACUCUAUUUGAUUGUACUUGUGCCAUUGUGUGUGCUUUAGAAUUGCAUACCAGUUAUAACAGUUAUAAUAUACAAUGAACUCUACUUUACUUUUGCCAUAAGCAGAGUUAAAGCAAAAAUGAGCAUACCAUGUAAAAGAUCAUAAAGG